rnacentral:rRNA from 1 species
UACGUAGGGACCAAGCGUUGUCCGGAAUCAUUGGGCGUAAAGCGCGCGUAGGCGGCCCGGUAAGUCCGUUGUAAAAGUCGAAGGCUCAACCUUCGAAAGCCGAUGGAUACUGCCGGGCUAGAGUACGGAAGAGGCGAGUAGAAUUCCUGGUGUAGCGGUGAAAUGCGCAGAUAUCAGGAGGAACACCGGUGGCGAAGGCGGUUCUCUGGGAAUAUCCUGACGCUGAGGAGCGAAAGUGUGGGGAGCGAACAGG